rnacentral:rRNA from 1 species
GACGAACGCUGGCGGCGUGCUUAACACAUGCAAGUCGAACGGAAAGGCCCUGCUUUUGUGGGGUGCUCGAGUGGCGAACGGGUGAGUAACACGUGAGUAACCUGCCCUUGACUUUGGGAUAACUUCAGGAAACUGGGGCUAAUACCGGAUAGGAGCUCCUGCUGCAUGGUGGGGGUUGGAAAGUUUCGGCGGUUGGGGAUGGACUCGCGGCUUAUCAGCUUGUUGGUGGGGUAGCGGCUUACCAAGGCUUUGACGGGUAGCCGGCCUGAGAGGGUGACCGGCCACAUUGGGACUGAGAUACGGCCAAGACUCCUACGGGAGGCAGCAGUGGGGAAUAUUGCACAAUGGGCGGAAGCCUGAUGCAGCAACGCCGCGUGCGGGAUGACGGCCUUCGGGUUGUAAACCGCUUUCGCCUGUGACGAAGCGUGAGUGACGGUAAUGGGUAAAGAAGCACCGGCUAACUACG